rnacentral:rRNA from 1 species
CCAGCAGCUGCGGUAAUUCCAGCUCCAAUAGCGUAUAUUUAAGUUGUUGCAGUUAAAAAGCUCGUAGUUGGAUUUCGGGUGGGUUCCAGCGGUCCGCCUAUGGUGAGUACUGCUGUGGCCCUCCUUUCUGUCGGAGACGCGCUCCUGGGCUUCAUUGUCCGGGACGUGGGUUUCGACGUUGAUACUUUGAGUAAAUUAGAGUGUUCAAAGCAAGCCUACGCUCUGAAUACUUUAGCAUGGAAUAUCGCGAUAGGUCUCUGGCCUAUCUCGUUGGUCUGUAGGACCGGAGUAAUGAUUAAGAGGGACAGUCGGGGGCAUUCGUAUUUCAUUGUCAGAGGUGAAAGUCUUGGAUUUAUGAAAGGCGAACUACUGCGAAAGCAUGUGCCAAGGAUGUUUUCAUUAAUCAAGAACGAAAGU